UUAUACUGGAGCAUUUCAGAGCUACAGCAGAAUCAAGAGUAUGAUACAGAAUUGAUACUUUUAAAGAACAAAGUCCACCAGCCCCAAGUAUAAUACAUAAGAUUAGCUCAUUCCUUCCUAUAUUACCUAAUCUUUAACAUUGCACCAAUUUAGCCCUAAUAUGAACAGAGGUCAUUAAACAAGCAGGAGCCAGCUCUUUCCUGAGAAUAUCCAGGCUGUUGCUUUUUUUUUUUUUUUUAGGAAGGCACUUGUUUUCAAAAAGCAGUUUUAAAAUUAGUUUUAAGGGCCAGGCAGAGUGCCUCAUGCCUGUAAUCCCAGCACUUUGGGAGGUUAAGGCGGGCAGAUGACUUGAGCCUAGGAGUUAGAGACCAGCCUGGGCAACAUGGUGAGGUCCUGUCUCUACAAAAAAUACAAAAAUAAUCUGGGCAUGGUGGUACAUACCUGUAAUCCCAGCUACUUGGGAGGCUAAGACAGGAGAAUCUCUUGAAUCCAGGAGGUGGAGGUUGCAGUGAGCCAAGAUCGUGCCACUGCACUCCAGCCUGGGCGACAGAGUGAGAUUCUGUCUCAAAAAAAAAAAAAAAAUUAGCCAGGAAUGGUGCUGUGCACCUGUAUCCUAGCUCCUUGGGAGACUGAGGUGGGAGGAUUGCUUGAGCCCAGGAGUUUGAGACUGCAGUGAGCUAAUGAUCAUUCCAUUGCAUUCCAGCCUGGGCAAUACAGCAAGUCUCUUUUUUUAAAAAAAAAAAACUUUGGAAGGCCGAGGCAAGCAGAUCACAAGGUCAGGAGAUCUAGAUCAUCCUGGCCAACAUGGUGAAACCCUGUCUCUACUGAAAAAAUACAAAAAUUAGCUGGGCGUGGUGGUGCAUGCCUGUAAUUGCAGCUACUCGAGAGGCUGAGGCAGGAGAAUCACUUGAACCUGGGAGGCGGAGGUUGCAGUGAGCCGAGAUCACGCCAUUGCACUCCAGCCUGGCGACAGAGUGAGACUCUGUCCCUCCCCCCAAAAAAAAGGUAUUAGGACUCCAGCACUAAUACUGGUAGGCAUUCAUAAAUGUUUGCGGAAGAAAGAAUGCAAGCAUGCUUAGUGGGCCCAGUGAAAAGUAUAGCCCUUUUCCUUUAAUAUACUAGAACUUCAUUGUCAUUGUUUAUUUUUUGUGCAAAAUGUGCUUGAAUUUUUUUUUUUUUUUUUUUUUUUUGAGACAGGGUCUCACUGUCACCCAGGCUGGAGCACAGUGGCACAAUCUUGGCUCACUGCAACCUCUGCUUCCUGGGCUCAAGUGAUUCUCCAGACUCAGCCUCACAAGUAGCUGGGACUACAGGUGUGUGCUACUGCACCUGGUUAAUUUUUGUAUUUUUGUAGAGACGGGGGGUCUCACCAUGUUGCCUAGGCUGGUGUCAAACUCCUGGGCUCAAGUAAUCUGCCCACCUAGGCCUCCCAAAGUGCUGGGAUUACAGGCGUGAGCCACUGGGCCCAGCCACAGAUUUUUAAUAGGAGUUGCAUAUAUAAAGCAAUUAAGACAACCCAUUUCUAACUUUACUACAUGAAGUACCUUAUCCCAGAUAAUUAGAAGAGAUUAUAUAUUGGUUUUCUUGCCCAACUAGUUAUCCCAGUUAUAGAUCUCCACUAACAACAAACUUAACCAUUACAUUCACUGGCUGCUGGAUAGUAUAUCUUUGGGUCACAAUUAAAUAAGUAGAUCGAUAAAAUGUAGCAAAAUAAUCUUCUCUGGAGAACCAACAUUUCUCUAACUGUAUCAAGGAAUCAUAGACUAUCUUUUGAAAAUGUCAGUGGGAAGAAUCAUACCCCUGAGCUAUACAGUUCUGAGCACGUUAACAGUAAAAUAAUAAUUGGAUAUUAGAAAACGUAUUCAUAAGUAUGAAAUUUGUUUCAAAUAGAUAUUUUUGCUAAAUACUUCUUUUUUUGAGACAAGAUCUCAAUGUGUUGUCCAGGCUGGAGUGCAGUGGUGCAAUCACAGUUCACUGCAGUCUUGACCUCCUGGGCUCAAGUGAUUCUCUUGCCUCAGCCUCUUGAUUAGCUGGGACUACAGGUGUGCACCACCACAUGUGGCUAAUUUGUGUAUUUUUUGUAGAGACAGGGUCUUACCAUGUUGCCCAGACUGGCCUUGAACUCCUGGACUCAAGAGAGCCAACCUCAGGUUUUGGGAUACAUGUGAAGAACAUGCAAGAUAGUUGCAUAGGUACACAUGUGGCAGUGUGAUUUGCUGCCUUCCUCCCCUUCACCUAUAUCUGGCAUUUCUCCUCAUGCUAUCUCUCCCCGACUCCCCACCCCCCACUGUCCCUCCCCUAUUUCCCCGCAACAUACCCCAGUGUUUAGUGAUCCCCUCCCUGUGUCCAUGUGUUCUCAUUGUUCAACACCCGCCUAUGAGUGAGAACAUGCAGUAUUUCAUUUUCUGUUCUUGUGUCAGUUUGCUGAGAAUGAUGUUCUCCAGGUUCAUCCAUGUCCCUACAAAGGACACGAACUCAUCGUUUUUGAUGGCUGCAUAGUAUUCCAUGGUGUAUAUGUGCCACAUUUUCCCUGUCCAGUCUAUCAUCGAUGGGUAUUUGGGUUGGUUCCAGGUCUUUGCUAUUGUAAACAGUGCUGCAAUGAACAUUCAUGUGCAUGUGUCCUUAUAGUAGAACGAUUUAUAAUCCUUUGGAUAUAUACCCAGUAAUGGGAUUGCUGGGUCAAAUGGAAUUUCUAUUUCUAGGUCCUUAAGGAAUUGCCACACUGUCUUCCACAGUGGUUGAACUAAUUUACACUUCCACCAACAGUGUAAAAGUGUUCCUUUUUCUCCACAUCCUCUCCAGCAUCUGUUGUCUCCAGAUUUUUUAAUGAUCACCAUUCUAACUGGAGUGAGAUGGUAUCUCAAUGUAGUUUUGAUUUGCAUUUCUCUAAUGACCAGUGAUGAUAAGCAUUUUUUCAUGUUUGUUGGCCUCAUGUAUGUCCUUUUUUGUAAAGUGUCUGUUCAUAUCCUUCACCCACUCUUGAGUGGGCUUGUUUUUUUCUUGUAAAUCUGUUUGAGUUCUUUGUAAAUUCUGGAUAUCAGCCCUUUGUCAGAUGGGUCUUUUUUUUUUUUUUUGAGAUGGAGUCUUGCUCUAUUCCCUCAGCUGGAGUGCAUUGGCGUGAUCUCUGCUCACUGCAACCUCUGCUUCCUGGCUUCAAGUGAUUCUCUUGUCUCAGCUCCCAGGUAGCUGGGAUUACAGACAUGUACCACCAUACCCAGCUAAUACUUGUAUUUUUAGUAGAGAUGGGGUUUCACCAUGUUGACCAGGCUGGUCUCAAACCCCUGACCUCACGAUCCGCCCACCUCAGUUUCCCUAAGUGCUGGGAUUACAGGGGUGAGUCACCAUGCCUGGCCUCUUUUUCUUUUUUUUAGAGACAGGUUCUUGCCAUGUUGCCUACGUUGGUCUUGAACUGUUGGCCUCAAGCUGUCCUCCCAAAGUGGUCUCCCAAAAGUAUUGAGAUUAUAGGCAUGAGCCACUGUGCCUGGUCAGAACCUUUUUUUUUUUAGACAGGUUCUCACUCUGUCUCCCAGGCUGGAGUGCAGUAGCACAAUCUUGGCUUGCUGCAGCCUUGAGUUCCUGGGUCCAAGUGAUCCUCCCACUUCAGCCUCAGCUGGGACUGCUAGCAUGUGCCACCAUGCCUGGCUAAUUUUUGUAUUUUUUGUAGGGAUGGGAUCUCUCCAUGUUUCCCAGUCUGGUCUUAAUCUCCUGGAUUCAAGCGAUCCUCCCACCCUGGCCUCCCAAAGUGUUGGGAUUAUAGGUAUAAGACACUGUACCCAGCAGAACCUCUUAGAGAAGACACAGCUCAUCUGUUACAGGCCCAUUAAGUGAGCACUAUUUGUGUCCUGUACUGUGUUAUGUGCUCUUAUUAUUUCAUUUAAAUCUCAUGACUGUCCCAUGAGUGAGAUAUUACCAGCUCUGUUUUAGUGAUGGGAAAGCAGAUUAACUCAUCCAUAGUCACACAGCUAGUAAAUGGUAAAACUGGGAUUUGUGCCUACAUUUUUCUGCCCAUGUUUUAUUAAGGACUCCUUUAAUGUAUUCCUGAUAAGAAUCCUCCAUAUAAUUUUUUAAAUAAUCAUGUCAUGUAAAAUAAAUCAAGUGCAUUGACUGAAUAAACUGAAAUCUUCUCAUAUUUCAACUAAUGAUGGAAACCUUGCAGCUCAGGAGGAGGAAAAAGACAACAGGAAGGAGAAGAAAGAAGAAGAAAGAGAGGGAAAAAAAUUAAAGACAAGGUCUGAGAAUUAAAGGAAGUUUAAUUUUAUAGUAAGAGCUUGGGUUUGAUCCUCUGUUCUUCAGUCUGCUGGUUAUAUUAUCUUGGGAACAUUAAUUUCUGCAAAGUCUUAGUUUCAUGAAAAUGGAGAUAACUUUGAUUGUCUGACAGUAUAAUGGCUAUCUCUCUCUCCCACUAGACUAUAAGUAUCAUGAGGGCAGAGGAUAUGUCUGAUUUUGCUCACUGGUUUUUGUCUUCUCCGACAUGAUUAGUGAGACAGUCUGCUCAAGCAAAAAGAAUUUUUUUUUUUCUGAGACAGAAUCUCACUCUGUCACCCAGGCUGGAGUGCUGUGGUGUGAUCUUGGCUCACUGCAACCUCCACCUCCUGGGUUCAAGUGAUUCUCCUGCCUCAGCCUCCCAAAUACCUGGGAUUACAUGUGUGUGCCACCACAGCCAGCUAAUUUUUGUAUUUUUACUAAAGACGGGGUUUCACCAUGUUUGCCAGCCUGGAUCAGACUUGCUGGUCUUGAACUCUUGACCUUGUGAUCUGCCCACCUCAGCCUCCAAAAGUGCUGGGAUUAUAGGCAUGAGCCACUAUGCCCAGCCAAAAUAAAAUCAUUUUUAAAAGAAGAGACAUUAACCAUUCCAUUUUAACUUAACUAUACUAAUUCAUCAAUCUUUUCUUUGGGUUUUUCAUUGAGUAUAGGUCCAUUGAUGAAAGUGCUGGGCCAUCUUUCUUGUAUAAACAGGAUCCAUAUUACAUGAUAGGCAGUUUCUACUGUCAGUUAUAAAGAGAACCUAAAGUCACUUAUGAAGCAAACUGAGUAGAAAAUAUCUUUAGACUUCUAUGACUUUCCCCCAAAAAUAUUUAGUUUCCACUACAUCAAAUGUGAUAGUAAUUGUUUACAACUCAAUUAAUUAUUUAUUUUAUUUAUUUAUUUCCUCCUCCUCCCUCCUCCCUCCUCCUCCUCCUCCUUCUUCUUUUUCUCUAAUGUUGCCUAGGCUGGUCUCAAGCUUUGGACCUUGAGCAGUCCUCCUGCUUCAGCCUCCCAAAGUGCUGGGAUUACGGGUGUGAGCCACCAUGCUCAGCCCUACAAUUCACUCUUUACUGAGUCUUUCUAAAGCAUUCAACUUAAUUUUCAUAAAAGUAACUUUCAUUUCCCAUAUUUAUUUCCUAAGGUUAUAAAAUGUAAGUGCAAUUAAAUUUUGCAAUUACAGGGCCGGGCGCGGUGGCUCACACCUAUAAUCCCAGCACUUUGGGAGGCCGAGGCGGGUGGAUCACGAGGUCAAGAGAUUGAGACCAUCCUGGUCAACGAGGUGAAAACCCGUCUCUACUAAAAAUACAAAAAUUAACUGGGCAUGGUGGUGCACGCCUGUAGUCCCAGCUACUCGGGAGGCUGAGGCAGGAGAAUUGCUUAAACCAAGAAGGCGGAGGUUGCAGUGAGCCGAGAUCAUGCCAUUGCACUCCAGUCUGGGUAACAACAGGGAAACUCUGUCUCAAAAAAAAAAAAGAAAUUUUGCAAUUACAGUAACAAAUGCAUCUGACAUUAAUAGAUUUGAAAUGAAAAGCACUGACCCUUGGUAAGGAUACACUAAAUCAUGGGAGUAGAAAAGUACACAUGUCCUCAAGAGUAGCCAUUUGGUCACAAACCUAGUGCACACCAUGUGAAUAAGUACAUUUAGUCUCCAAACAUUUUGGCACCAGGGACCAGUUUCAUGGAAGACAGUUUUUCCAGAGACCAGGGGAGUUGGUUUUGGGAUGAUUCAAAUGCAUUACAUUUAUUGUGCUCUUUAUUCCCAUUAUUAUUACAUUGUAAUAUAUAAUGACAUAAUUAUAUAAGUCACCAUCAUGUAGAAUCAGCGGUAGCCCUGAGCUUGUUUACCUGCAACUAGACAGUCCCAUCUGGGGUUGAGGGGAAACUGUGACAGAUCAUCAGGCAUUAAUUUUCACAAGGAGUGCUUAACCUGGAUCCCUUACAUAUGCAGUUCACAAUAGGAUUUGCGCUCCUGUAAGAAUCUAAUACCACCGCUGAUAUGCCAGGAGGUGGAGCUCAGGCAGUAAUGUUUGCUCACUGACCACUCACCUCCUGCUAUACAGACCAGCUCCUGACAGGUCAUAGACCAAUACUGUGACCCAGGAGUUGGAGACAGCUGUUUUAGAGAGAAAGAAGAGCAUCAGAUAACUUGGAGAGUUCAUUACAAGAUCUACUGUAUUAAAUCCUCAGCAUUUACCACAUUGCCUGAUGCAAAAGAAAAAAAUCGAUAAAUAUUUGUCAAGUCAAUAGUAUCUACCACUCAAGGGUGCUGCAAGACCUGAAUGAGCAACAGCCAUGCAGGCUCAUUUGGACAUUGGCAUUUGGUAAAUGUUAUUGCCUUUCCCUUUCCCACUGUUCAAGACAUUUUAUUUAUUUGUAACCCAUCUAAAUCAAAAAUAAUUUGAAAGGUGAGAGAUGUUUACAGAAGUUAUUGCUUGUUUAGAUAUUCAUUCAAAAGGAGUUUUGAGCUGUUCAGUUUUCCAAAUAUGAAGGAGACAUAAGUGAAGACAUGGCCCUGGACUGUAAGGAGCUCACCACCUUGCUUCUCACCCCAAAAAUGAGCUAGCAACAAAACCCUGCAACACGAAUUAUACAAAGAGAAAUUCAGGUAGCUGACAAAUCUUUCCUCAAUUUAAUUUUCAUUAAAAAUAAAAGAGAGGGCUGGAUGCAGUGGUUCACAUCCAUAAUCUCAGUACUUUUGGGAGGCCAAGCAGGAGGAUUGAUUGAGACCAGGAGUUCAAGACUAGUCUGGGCAACAUAGCAAUAUCCCUAUCUCUAUGACAUACAUAUAUUUAAAAAUUAGCUGGACAUGGUAGCAUGCAUCUGUAUAGUCCUAGCUACUCAGGAGACUGAGGCUAGAGGAUCCCUUGAGCCCAGGAGUUUGAGGCUGAAGUGAGCUAUGAUCACACCACCACAUUUCAGCUUGAGCAACAGAGCAAGACCUUGACUCGGGUCGAGGGGUGGGGGGGAGGCUUUGCAGUAUAAGCAUUUUGGCAGAACUAAUAAAGAAUGUGCCUCUGUCUUAAGAUAAUGCAUUCCUCUCUAAUCUGUAAAAUAGGGCACGUAUCAGAAAAUAUUUGCCAAUCAAGUACAUUUUAUAGCUGAUCUAAAGUGCUUAUAAUCAUACCAAAGAAUAGAAUCUCUCAUCAGCUUAGGCUUUCUCAAGUAAGAAAGAAUAAGAUGGACCUUAAUUUUUAAUUUUAAUUAUUGCAGUGUCACAGAGUGAAGGUCAUUUUGCCCAAUCGUCCCAUGUAAUAAAGCGUAUUGCCAUAUGUAGAACAUACAGCUAACUGAGAUUUCACUUUGGUUUCUGAGAUUUAACCCUGUUAUAAUAUUGGCUAUGUGAACCUGAGAAAUGAAAAACUGUGAUGUCUUUUUGGAAAUGGAAAAAAGUUGCCCAGGGCAAACAAGCAUGGAUAUCUUAUUAUAUUCUGCUCCCUGGUUCCUAGUGAUGCCUCUUAUGAUUGUCUUUCAGAUAUGUGAUUUGUAGUGGUAAUAUAACUGAGAUAUGCAGACUCUGAUAGGUCCUGACUACAUGUGAUGUUUUUGUAGCUAACAUUUGAAUAAAUAUACUUACUGCUGAUUGAA